rnacentral:rRNA from 1 species
CCUACGGGGGGCAGCAGUAGGGAAUCUUCGUCAAUGGGCGCAAGCCUGAACGAGCAAUGCCGCGUGAACGAGGAAGGUCUUCUGAUCGUAAAGUUCUGUUGAAGGGGAAAAAGAGCGGAGAGAGGAAAUGGUCUCCGAUUGAUAUUACCCUUCGAGGAAGUCCCGGCUAACUACGUGCCAGCAGCCGCGGUAAUACGUAGGUGGCGAGCGUUAUCCGGAAUGAUUGGGCGAAAAGGGUGCGUAGGCGGCCUGCUAAGUCUGGAGUGAAAGGUACCGGCUCAACCGGUACAGGCUCUGGAAACUGGCGGGCUAGAGAGCAGGAGAGGGCGGUGGAACUCCAUGUGUAGCGGUAAAAUGCGUAGAUAUAUGGAAGAACACCAGUGGCGAAGGCGGCCGCCUGGCCUGUUACUGACGCUGAGGCACGAAAGCGUGGGGAGCAAAUAGGAUUAGAUACCCCUGUAGUC